AGGCUCACCAAGGCGACGAUCCGUAGCUGGUCUGAGAGGAUGAUCAGCCACAUCGGGACUGAGACACGGCCCGAACUCCUACGGGAGGCAGCAGUGGGGAAUAUUGGACAAUGGGGGGAACCCUGAUCCAGCCAUGCCGCGUGUGUGAAGAAGGCCCUCGGGUUGUAAAGCACUUUCAGUGAGGAAGAACGCCUGGUGGUUAAUACCCAUCAGGAAAGACAUCACUCACAGAAGAAGCACCGGCUAACUCCGUGCCAGCAGCCGCGGUAAUACGAAGGGUGCAAGCGUUAAUCGGAAUUACUGGGCGUAAAGCGCGCGUAGGUGGCUUGAUAAGCCGGUUGUGAAAGCCCCGGGCUCAACCUGGGAACGGCAUCCGGAACUGUCAAGCUAGAGUGCAGGAGAGGAAGGUAGAAUUCCCGGUGUAGCGGUGAAAUGCGUAGANGAUCGNGGAGGAAUACCAGUGGUGAAGGCGGCCUUCUGGACUGACACUGACACUGAGGUGCGAAAGCGUGGGUAGCAAACAGGAUUAGAUACCCUGGUAGUCCACGCCGUAAACGAUGUCGACCAGCCGUUGGGUGCCUAGCGCACUUUGUGGCGAAGUUAACGCGAUAAGUCGACCGCCUNGNGNNGNGANGUACGGCCGCAAGGUUAAAACUCAAAUGAAUUGACGGGGGCCCGCACAAGCGGUGGAGCAUGUGGUUUAAUUCGAUGCAACGCGAAGAACCUUACCUACUCUUGACAUCCUGCGAACUUGUGAGAGAUCACUUGGUGCCUUCGGGAACGCAGAGACAGGUGCUGCAUGGCUGUCGUCAGCUCGUGUUGUGAAAUGUUGGGUUAAGUCCCGUAACGAGCGCAACCCUUGUCCUUAUUUGCCAGCGCGUAAUGGCGGGAACUCUAAGGAGAC
rnacentral:rRNA from 1 species